UACGUAGGGCGCAAGCGUUGUCCGGAAUUAUUGGGCGUAAAGAGCUCGUAGGCGGCCAGUUGCGUCCGCUGUGAAAUCCCGGGGCUUAACCCCGGGCGUGCAGUGGAUACGGGCUGGCUGGAGGCAGGCAGGGGAGAACGGAAUUCCUGGUGUAGCGGUGAAAUGCGCAGAUAUCAGGAGGAACACCGGUGGCGAAGGCGGGUCUCUGGGCCGUUACUGACGCUGAGGAGCGAAAGCGUGGGGAGCGAACAGG
rnacentral:rRNA from 1 species